rnacentral:lncRNA from 11 species
GCUGAAAUUAAAAGAGCAAGCUAAAUAAAGAAUUUGUAAAAAUCUGUCUUGCAGAAUCAGCAGUAGCUGGCUUUUAGAGGCAGAAGCUCAAGGCUUUUCAUAUAGCAUGAGGCAUUUUUACCUAUAAUCAUGGGCCUGUGCCUUUGCCUCUAUUUAGGCCUGAUUGAUUUGUAUUUUGAAAAUAGCUGAGAUGAGAGAAGUGAAGAAAAGGAGGAAUGAAGGCCAGAUUUCAGAGGGAGCAGUAGGCUGUAUUACAUCAAGAACCCUGGGAAAUUGCAUACAACUCUUUAUGACCUGUGAUAUCACAGCAUGUGACUAUGAAACGGAAC